UGAGCAGCACGCCGCGUGCGGGAUGACGGCCCUCGGGUUGUAAACCGCUUUCAGUGGGGACGAACCAAGACGGUACCCACAGAAGAAGCCCCGGCCAACUACGUGCCAGCAGCCGCGGUAACACGUAGGGGGCAAGCGUUGUCCGGAUUUAUUGGGCGUAAAGAGCUCGUAGGUGGUUCGAUAAGUCAGGUGUAAACCUCACAGCAAACCA
rnacentral:rRNA from 1 species